rnacentral:rRNA from 1 species
AACGAACGCUGGCGGCAGGCUUAACACAUGCAAGUCGAGCGCCCCCGCAAGGGGGAGCGGCAGACGGGUGAGUAACGCGUGGGAAACUACCCUUUGGUACGGAAUAACACAGAGAAAUUUGUGCUAAUACCGUAUGUGCCCUUCGGGGGAAAGAUUUAUCGCCAUAGGAUGUGCCCGCGUAGGAUUAGCUAGUUGGUGUGAUAAUGGCGCACCAAGGCGACGAUCCUUAGCUGGUCUGAGAGGAUGAUCAGCCACACUGGGACUGAGACACGGCCCAGACUCCUACGGGAGCAACAGUGGGGAAUAUUGGACAAUGGGCGCAAGCCUGAUCCAGCCAAUGCCGCGUGAGUGAUGAAGGCCUUAGGGUUGUAAAGCUCUUUCACCCACGACGAUAAUGACGGUACCCGGAGAAGAAGCCCCGGCUAACUUCGUG